UACAGAGGAUGCAAGCGUUAUCCGGAAUGAUUGGGCGUAAAGCGUCUGUAGGUGGCUUUUUAAGUCCGCCGUCAAAUCCCAGGGCUCAACUCUGGACAGGCGGUGGAAACUACCAAGCUGGAGUACGGUAGGGGCUGUCGGAACAAACGGUGGAGCGGUGAAAUGCGUAGAUAUCGUUUGGAACGCCAACGGUGAAAACAGACAGCUGGGAGUGUGCUGACGCUGAGACACGAAAGCCAGGGGAGCGAACGGG
rnacentral:rRNA from 1 species